UAAGCAUAUCAAUAAGCGGAGGAAAAGAAACUAACAAGGAUUCCCCUAGUAACUGCGAGUGAAGCGGGAAAAGCUCAAAUUUAAAAUCUGGUGGCCUUUGGUCGCUCGAGUUGUAAUUUAGAGAAGCGUCUUCCGCGCUGGACCGUGCACAAGUCUCCUGGAAUGGAGCGUCAUAGAGGGUGAGAAUCCCGUCUUUGGCACGGACGUACCAGGGCUUUCGUGAUGCGCUCUCGAAGAGUCGAGUUGUUUGGGAAUGCAGCUCAAAAUGGGUGGUGAACUCCAUCUAAAGCUAAAUAUUGGCGAGAGACCGAUAGCGAACAAGUACCGUGAGGGAAAGAUGAAAAGCACUUUGGAAAGAGAGUGAAACAGUACGUGAAAUUGUUGAAAGGGAAACGCUUGAAGUCAGUCGCGUCGACCGAGACUCAGCCUCGCCUUGGCUUGGUGUAUUUCUCGGCCGACGGGUCAGCGUCAAUUUUGGCCUUCGGAUAAUGGCAGGGGAAAGGUAGCACCUUUACGGGUGUGUUAUAGUCUUCUGUCGCAUGCGAGGUUCAGGAUUGAGGAACUCAGCACGCGCCUUUUGGCGUCGGGGCCUCGGCCCACGCUACGUGCUUAGGAUGCUGGCGUAAUGGCUUUAAACGACCCGUCUUGAAACACGGACCAAGGAGUCUAACAUGCCCGCGAGUGUUCGGGUGGAAAACCCGUGCGCGUAAUGAAAGUGAAAGUUGGGACCCCUGUCGUGGGGGGCACCGACGCCCGGACCAGACCUUCUGUGACGGAUCUGCGGUAGAGCGUGCAUGUUGGGACCCGAAAGAUGGUGAACUAUGCCUGAAUAGGGUGAAGCCAGAGGAAACUCUGGUGGAGGCUCGUAGCGAUUCUGACGUGCAAAUCGAUCGUCAAAUUUGGGUAUAGGGGCGAAAGACUAAUCGAACCAUCUAGUAGCUGGUUCCUGCCGAUUUCC
rnacentral:rRNA from 1 species